AUAAAGAUAAGCUAAAUUAAGCUAAUGGGCUCAUACCCCGGAUAUGAGACUGGGUUCUCUCUUUUUA
rnacentral:tRNA from 1 species